rnacentral:rRNA from 1 species
GACGUAGGGCGCGAGCGUUGUCCGGAUUUAUUGGGCGUAAAGCGCGCGCAGGCGGUCCUUUAAGUCUGAUGUGAAAGCCCACGGCUCAACCGUGGAGGGUCAUUGGAAACUGGGGGACUUGAGUGCAGGAGAGAAGAGUGGAAUUCCACGUGUAGCGGUGAAAUGCGUAGAGAUGUGGAGGAACACCGGUGGCGAAGGCGGUUCUCUGGGCCUGUACUGACGCUGAGGAGCGAAAGCGUGGGGAGCGAACAGG